GAACCGUCCAAACGUUAUUCGGAAUCACUGGGCUUAAAGGGUGCGUAGGCGGCGCGGCAAGUUGGGUGUGAAAUCCCUCGGCUCAACCGAGGAACUGCGCCCAAAACUGCCGUGCUCGAGGGAGACAGAGGUGAGCGGAACUGAUGGUGGAGCGGUGAAAUGCGUUGAUAUUAUCAGGAACACCGGUGGCGAAAGCGGCUCGCUGGGUCUCUUCUGACGCUGAGGCACGAAAGCUAGGGUAGCGAACGGGGAUUAGAUACCCCGGUAGUCCUAGCUGUAAACGAUGAGCACUAGAUCGGAGACUCCUCCAUAGGUUUCCGGUCCAAGCGAAAGUGUUAAGUGCUCCGCCUGGGGAUAUGGUCGCAAGGCUG
rnacentral:rRNA from 1 species